UACGUAGGGACCAAGCGUUGUUCGGAUUUACUGGGCGUAAAGGGCGCGUAGGCGGCGUGGUAAGUCACUUGUGAAAUCUCUGAGCUUAACUCAGAACGGCCAAGUGAUACUGCUGUGCUAGAGUGCAGAAGGGGCAAUCGGAAUUCUUGGUGUAGCGGUGAAAUGCGUAGAUAUCAAGAGGAACACCUGAGGUGAAGACGGGUUGCUGGGCUGACACUGACGGCUGAGGCGCGAAAGCCAGGGGAGCAAACGGG
rnacentral:rRNA from 1 species